UUGAUGGAGUCGUCGUAAAACCGAAAAGCUUGGAGAAAGGAAUGCUCGUCCACUCUCAGGCAGCAGCACAGGGACUGCAAACCGACACUUUCGUGGCCAAUAGCUUAGUUGCCAUGUACUGCAAGUGUGGAAGCUUACUUGAUGCUCGCAUGGUCUUUGACAGGAUGCCAGUCUCAACUGUUGUGUCGUGGACGGCCUUGAUUCUCGCGCACGCUGAAAACGCACAAGCCGAGUUAGCACUGGAGUUCUUCAAGGCAAUCCAAAGUGACAAAACCUGUGAACUCGACUCCAGGGCUUACAUUGCAGCACUCGUGGCGUGUGGAGCUCUGACCGCACUCGAGGCUGGAAGACGAAUCCAUGCAGAAGUUUGCAAGCGGGGUUUCGACGGCGAAGUCUACGUUGCAAACGCUCUUGUCGACUUCUACGCCAAGUGUGGAAGCAUGGACGAAGCAAUGGCAGUCUUCGACUCGCACAAAGGCAGGAACCUCGUCACUUGGAGUGCUCUGGUAGCAGGAUACGCCCGGCAAGGAGGAGAAACGAACCGAGUGCUUGACAUGUUUGAGAAGAUGCCACAGCAGUGCUGCAUCUCCUCCUUGUCGGUUCUCACAGCGUGCAGCCACGCCGGUCUUGUCCACAGAGGGAAGGAAUGCUUCCAGGCGAUGCAGCAAAGGCAAGGAACCAGGCCUUGGAUUGAGCAUUACCACUGUGUGAUAGACAUGCUGGGACGAGCAAACCACCUGAAAGAAGCAAUGGCAGUGAUCUCCAAAAUGCCAUACAAACCGACCGUGGUUACCUGGACGACGGUGCUAAGCGCGUGUGAGAAGUGGAAGAACGUUGCUGUUGGACGCAUCGCGUUUGAGUCACUGCUAAGCUUGGACGAGAACCAGCCCGCGGCUUACGUGCUCAUGGCAAACAUC
rnacentral:lncRNA from 1 species